ncrna:unclassified sequences drum RNA
AAGCGUUGAUCUGAGAGAGUGUGUCAGCAGGCAUUGGCUCAGGGAGCUUCUCCGGAGGGGUUGGGGCGAAAACCUCAAGCUGACUAGCGAAAGCGAAAGAAAACACCAAUA